CCCUACAAGCUCUAUCUCGGUCACCGUCUCGUACCCAAUCAUUCUCCCGUUGCAACCGCUUCAGCUGGCUAAUCCUCCAUUACUUGAUCCCGGCUGAAUAUGGAACAGGCGACAGGUCAGAAGCUAGGACGGGUCUUGUCAAACAACUUUCUAGCGGUGACGCUGGCAAAAAUUGCCUCUGGAACUUAACUGUGCAUACAUAUCCCCUCACAAAAUGGGGCGACCACUCUUAGUGAGUUAGCCAAUCUAAGGAAAUCGAUAUCCAAUUCUGUCGUGUUUGGAUAUUCAAUUUCCCGGCAGUCUAACAGCGGCCUGACCAGUCGAAAGACCUAUUCAACUCUGAUGAUGCGUUCGUACUCAUCAUACAGGUCUCCAAUAGAAAAUUGUCACGUAUUUAACGAUGCUACUCCAGAGUUUUUCGCGUUUCUUUGAAAAUAUUACACCUUAUAAAGGAAUAAAUUGGGCCCCACCCAAGCUUCAGGCCCGGGGAAUGUGGCCAUCCCCAUGAUAACUACUGUCUAAACUCCGACAACAAUUUAUUGGGCGAUUGGCUAAAACAUGUCUCUAGUUUGGUGUCAGUGUUGGGCGAGUACCUGUGCAACGGAUGGCAAGCCAGCGCAGUUCUCCAGCUAGUUUGUCUCGCUGUACUUUUCCAUGCAUCGUUAUUAUGAUGUCUGUUUGUAAUUACUCUCAAAACUAAUAAUAACGAUGCGUGGGUCACAGCAUCGUGGAGGACUGGGAAUGCUCUAAUUUACUGGAUGCUUUUGGGUUCAGCUAUUGGAUCGCACCAUAUCCCGCCGGUUGAGCGAGUACCCAUUUUCAACAAAAAA
rnacentral:sRNA from 1 species